rnacentral:rRNA from 1 species
UACUCCUACGGGAGGCAGCAGUUAGGAAUCUUGGGCAAUGGGCGAAAGCCUGACCCAGCCAUGCCGCGUGAAUGAUGAAGGUCCUAGGACUGUAAAAUUCUUUCACCGGGGAAGAUAAUGACGGUACCCGGAGAAGAAGCUCCGGCUAACUUCGUGCCAGCAGCCGCGGUAAU